rnacentral:rRNA from 1 species
CCUACGGGUGGCAGCAGUGAGGAAUAUUGGUCAAUGGGCGGAAGCCUGAACCAGCCAAGUAGCGUGCGGGAUGAAGGCCCUACGGGUCGUAAACCGCUUUUGCACGGGGAUAACACCCUCCACUUGUGGCGGUCUGCAGGUACCGUGCGAAUAAGGGCCGGCUAAUUCCGUGCCAGCAGCCGCGGUAAUACGGAAGGACCGAGCGUUAUCCGGAUUCAUUGGGCUUAAAGGGAGCGUAGGUGGGCGUUCAAGUCAGAGGUAAAAUAGCGCGGCUCAACCGCGCCCCGCAGUUGAAACUGGGCGCCUUGAGUACACAAGAGGUAGGCGGAAUUCGUGGUGUAGCGGUGAAAUGCAUAGAUAGCACGAGGAACCCCGAUUGCGAAGGCAGCCUGCCGGGGUGCGACUGACGCUGAGGCUCGAAGGUGCGGGUAUCAAACAGGAUUAGAUACCCGAGUAGUC